AAAAAAAAAAGUAUGAGCAAAUAGCACAACAUACCAACUAAGAAAUCGGAAUUCUCUUUGGUUUCCAAAAGUUGAGUGAAUGGAUAGAUUGUAAGAGCAGAUUUUGGAAUAAAAUCGCAGAUAGCAUCCCUAACAGUGGUUCUGAACUGGAAAAUCAACUUAAACUGAUGCCUAGUGGCCCUAUAAGAUCCUUGGUUUGGCACAACAGAGAAGAGCUUCAUUACAUAUACUCGACCCUCGGAGAGAAGUUGUUUG
rnacentral:lncRNA from 1 species